CUGGUUGAUCCUGCCAGUAGUCAUAUGCUUGUCUCACAAGACUAAGCCAUGCAUGUCUAAGUAUAAAUAACUACACAGUAAAACUGCGAAUGGCUCAUUAAAACAGUUAUAGUUUAUUUGAUACAUUAAAUGGAUAACUGUAGAAAAACUAGAGCUAAUACAUGCCAAGACCGCAAGGUUGUAUUUAUUAGAUAUACCAAUUUUGGUGAAUCAUAAUAACUUCGCAAAUCGCAACUUUGUUGCGAUAAAUCAUUCAAGUUUCUGCCCUAUCAUGCUUUCGAUGGUAGUGUAUUGGACUACCAUGGCUCUCACGGGUAACGGGGAAUUAGGGUUCGAUUCCGGAGAAGGAGCCUGAGAAACGGCUACUACAUCUAAGGAAGGCAGCAGGCGCGUAAAUUACCCAAUCCUGACUCAGGGAGGUAGUGACAAGAUAUAACGACGCGACCAAAAUCGCGAUUGUAGUGAGGGUAUUCCAAACCGAACCACUAGUACGAUUGGAGGGCAAGUCUGGUGCCA
rnacentral:rRNA from 1 species